AUUCUACUGGUUUCUCCUGGAGUUUGGUCUCUUCUGUUGGGCCAGAGUGAAGAUUCCCACAAUUCCUGGAAAUCUGUGAAGAAUUUGUUUCUGGACAGGAUUGUUAAGGUGGAACAUGUCUUUAAAGAGGCGACUGGUUUCCAUGUUCCUGUGCUGUAUUUACUGCGUGGCCUCGCUCUUCUGCCUCCAUCCCAACCGCAGUUCUGUGGGAGCGCGGAGUCUAGCAUCUGUUGUCCAACAGCUGUACCAGCGUGUCAUUCGGAUGCUGAGAACCACACUGUGACUUCACAAAACUUCCUGCGUUCCUUUGAGCAACCCUGGAUCUUCUGUCACUGCGACCAUGACCGAGCACGCUUCCCAACACAGCAGGACCAACGGAAUAAAAAAGAGGAAAAACACAAAGACUAAUACGUUUGGGGCUGCAGGGUUUGCAUCAACUUAGAAUCAUCUGAAAAACGUUGCUAAGAAAAGAAGAUGAAAACAAACAUAUUUUUCUACAUAAGAAGACUAACAUUGUUGAUAUUUGCUGUAUAUUAGUUGGAUGCCUCCCUG